GAUGAACGCCGGCGGUGUGCCUAAUACAUGCAAGUCGAACGCGUUGGCCCAACUGAUUGAACGUGCUUGCACGGACUUGACGUUGGUUUACCAGCGAGUGGCGGACGGGUGAGUAACACGUAGGUAACCUGCCUCAAAGCGGGGGAUAACAUUUGGAAACAGAUGCUAAUACCGCAUAACAAUUUGAAUCGCAUGAUUCAAAUUUAAAAGAUGGCUUCGGCUAUCACUUUGGGAUGGACCUGCGGCGCAUUAGCUUGUUGGUAGGGUAACGGCCUACCAAGGCUGUGAUGCGUAGCCGAGUUGAGAGACUGAUCGGCCACAAUGGAACUGAGACACGGUCCAUACUCCUACGGGAGGCAGCAGUAGGGAAUCUUCCACAAUGGGCGCAAGCCUGAUGGAGCAACACCGCGUGAGUGAAGAAGGGUUUCGGCUCGUAAAGCUCUGUUGUUAGAGAAGAACGUGCGUGAGAGUAACUGUUCACGCAGUGACGGUAUCUAACCAGAAAGUCACGGCUAACUACGUGCCAGCAGCCGCGGUAAUACGUAGGUGGCAAGCGUUAUCCGGAUUUAUUGGGCGUAAAGCGAGCGCAGGCGGUUUGAUAAGUCUGAUGUGAAAGCCUUUG
rnacentral:rRNA from 1 species